rnacentral:rRNA from 1 species
UACGUAGGUGGCAAGCGUUGUCCGGAUUUACUGGGCGUAAAGAGCGCGCAGGCGGUCGGAUCAGUCGAAUGUGAAAGCCCCCGGCUCAACUGGGGAGGGUCAUUCGAUACUGUUCGACUCGAAGGCAGGAGAGGGAAGCGGAAUUCCCGGUGUAGUGGUGAAAUGCGUAGAUAUCGGGAGGAACACCAGUGGCGAAGGCGGCUCACUGGCUCGACACUGACGCUGAGGUGCGAAAGCGUGGGGAGCAAACAGG